UACAGAGGUCUCAAGCGUUGUUCGGAUUCAUUGGGCGUAAAGGGGUGCGUAGGCGGCGCGGUAAGUCGGGGUGUGAAAUUUUCGAGGCUUAACUUCGAAACUGCAUUCGAUACUGCCGUGCUUUGAGGACUGGAGAGGAGACUGGAAUUUACGGUGUAGCGGUGAAAAUGCGUAGAUAUCGUAAGGAAGACCAGUGGCGAAGGCGGGUCUCUGGGACGGUACUGACGCUGAGACGCGAAAAGCGUGGGGGGAGCGAACAGG
rnacentral:rRNA from 1 species